rnacentral:rRNA from 1 species
AGCGAACGCUGGCGGCAUGCCUAACACAUGCAAGUCGCACGGGGGGGCUUCGGCCUCCCAGUGGCGGACGGGUGAGGAACGCGUAGGGACCUGUCGAGGGGUGGGGGAUAACCGCGGGAAACUUCGGCUAAUACCGCAUGACGCCGCGGCGUGACAGCCGGGGCCAAAGGCGAGAGCCGCCCGCCGAGGGGCCUGCGUCCGAUUAGCUGGUUGGCGGGGUAGCGGCCCACCAAGGCGGCGAUCGGUAGCUGGUCUGAGAGGGUGAUCAGCCACACCGGGACUGAGACACGGCCCGGACUCCUACGCGAGGCAGCAGUGGGGAAUAUUGGACACUGGGCGCAAGCCUGAUCCAGCAAUGCCGCGUGGGUGAAGAAGGUCUUCGGAUUGUAAAGCCCUUUCGGAGGGGACGAUGGUGACGGUACCCGCAGAAGAAGCCCCGGCUAACUUCGUG